AAUGGAAGUCGGCAAAUUGGAUCCGUAACUUCGGAAUAAGGAUUGGCUCUGAGGAGCGGGGUGCGUCGGGCUUGGUCGGGAAGCGGGUCUUGCUGACGUGUCAGGUCUGGGCGAGAUGAACAUUCCGGUGUUCUCGCGCCGGUUCCGAGCUCAGUUCUAUGUCUUGGUCCCGCGGAUCUUCCUUGCUGCGAGGCUUCCGUGGCGGCGCGAGCCGUCGUGGUCAUCCUCUUCGGCCGCCAUUCAACGCUCAGCUCAGAACUGGCACAGGCAAGGGGAAUCCGACUGUCUAAUUAAAACAAAGCAUUGCGAUAGCUCUCGCGGGUAUUGACGCAAUAUGAUUUCUGCCCAGUGCUCUGAAUGUCAAUGUGAAAAAAUUCAAGCAAGCGCGGAUAAACGACGGGAGUAACUAUAACUUUCUUAAGGGAGUAAUUAUGACUUCCUUAAGACUGUAACUAUGGAUAUUAAUUCCUAUUAUUAAU
rnacentral:ncRNA from 1 species